GACGAACGCUGGCGGCGUGCCUAAUACAUGCAAGUCGAACGCAGUGGGGACGGGUGAGUAACACGUGGGUAACCUCCCAUCAGAGGGGAUAACCCUUGGAAACAGGUGCUAAACUGAUAUUGGUGGAUGGACCCGCGGUGCAUUAGCCAGUGGGUGAGGUAACGGCUCACCAAGGCCACGAUGCAUAGCCGGCCUGAGAGGGUGAUCAGCCACACUGGGACUGAGACACGGCCCAGACUCCUACGGGAGGCAGCAGUGGGGAAUCUUCGGCAAUGGGCGAAAGUCUGACCGAGCAACGCCGCGUGAGUGAAGAAGGUUUUCGGAUCGUAAAGCACUGUUGUUAGAGAAGCGGUAUCAAACCAGAAAGCCACGGCUAACUACGUGCCAGCAGCCGCGGUAAUAC
rnacentral:rRNA from 1 species